rnacentral:lncRNA from 10 species
CUGGAAAGAUCUUUAGACUAGAGGUUUAAAAAAAAGAUGAUGGAUACUUUAAAGGGCAGCGUAAACAAUAAAAACUAUUAAAGGUCAAUUGAUCUGAGCUGUCUGGCAGGGAGAGCUUACAGACUCUCCACAAAGGGUGAGCUGGGCUGCAGUCCACAAAAUGCCGGGUCAGAGCAAGCUGGAGAUGACUGACAGGGAGAACUCUCCUGGGCUCAGAGUGUCUCAACGCCAGGAACCUCAUUAGGACAUCUUCCCUCCACACUGUGACUUGACACUUCUUUAUCAAAUGAUUCUUCAGGGAGUUUCACUUUUGUCACCCAGGCUGGGGAGCAAUGGCGCGACCUCGGCUCACUGCAACCUCUGCCUCCCAGGUUCAAGCUAUUCUCCUGCCUCAGCCUCCGGAGUAGCUGAGAUUACAGGCGCACGCCACCACGCCCAGCUAAUUUUUGUGUGUAGAGAUGGGGUUUCACCAUGUUGGCCAAAUUGGUCUCAAACUCCGGACCUCAGAUGAUGACGCCCUCUUCGGCCUCUCAAAGUGCUGGGAUUACAGGCGUGAGCCACCGCGCCGGCCUUUUUUGAAUCUUUACGCAGCGUAAGACAGCAGCAGCUUAAGUUUGAGCGCUAAUGGAAAACACAUCUAUUCUUUGCUGACCCCUAGUGUCCACAGCAAGUAAGCGUGGAAUCUAAAAAUCCCAAAGGAAAAACAUGGCAGUUUGAGAAAUGACAUUUUGUUUCAUUCAAAACAAGAAAGAAAGAAAAAAUGCGUUCCAAAAUAAAAUAAUUCACCUCCAGUAAAUUAUAUAGUUAGCACAGAAACAUACAUAAAGAAUGAAACAGAUAUUUUCAAAUUCAGCUUCUGCUUUUGAUAGAGGGUAAAUCUGAGGAAGACUUUUCAGGGCUAUGGAGCACAAUCUGAAUUGUUUUGUGGGAACCACUUCUUUCUCUCUGGCUACACUGGCCUCAAAUCUGUUCUACAAGCAUGUGAAGAUAAUCUUUGGGUUUUCAAAUCCUUCCAGCACUACCCGACCACCACUCUGGGCAGCAUCACCGCCAUCACCAGGACCAACAGCCUUGUCGACAUGACCACCCGCUGGGAGCAAGAAACAGGUGGUCUCCCCUCCAUGAGGCUGUGAGGACAAAUAAAUGUUACCUAAGCAAAGUGAAAGAGACAGAGACAGGCACAGAAUUCUUUCUUUCUUAGACCAAUCAAAAUCACACAUUUUUGCUUCCCUUAUGGUGAACUGAAGCAAUCACUCAGUAAUUGUCUGCCCUAACUACAGUUUACAAGGCUGUCUUUUUUUUUUUUUUUUUUUUUAAGACAGUGUCUCAUUCUGUAGCCCAGGUUAGAGGAAGCUGAGGUUUAAGACAGCUUAAACCUCUACCCUGGGCAACAACUAUGAUCACAGUGGUGUUAACAUAACUCACUGCAGCUUCAAAUCCCUGGGCUUGAGCUAUCCCCCUGCAUCAGCCUUCCAUGUAGCUGGGACUGCAUGCACCUGUCACCACAUCCGGCUUAUUAUUAUUAUUAUUAUUAUUUUUUUUUAGAGACACAGUCUCUAUGUUGCCCGGGCUGAUCUCAAACUCCUAGCUUCAAGCCAUCCUCCUCCCUCUGCCUCCCAAAUGCUAGGAUUACAGAUGCGAGCCACUGCACCUGGCCUAAGGCUUUCCUUUUUGAGAGAGGGAUCUUUACAAUUCAGCCAAUUAAGUUUUCUUCACCAUUUUCUCUGCUUGUGGAUAAUCUCUUUUUGCAAUUGGAAGCCCUCUGAGGGUUUACAUGGAACAUCACACCACGUGAAAUUAUCAACCACUAGGCUAUAUUUUUUCCAUGGUUUCAAAAAUAGAGAAAGAAAAUGAAGCCUAUUGUUCUUGCAUGUUUGUUUGUUUAGGGUUUUUGUUUAUUUUUUUCCCAUAAGAUAAGUAGCAUCUAUGAUUUUCAGUCUCUUUGCUUCUUUGUACUUCAUACCAUCCUCCAUUUAAUUGCCACAAUCUGAAUUCCCAUUUAUUUAUUUUUAAGAUGGAGUUUUGCUCUUGCUGCCCAGGCUGGAGUGCAAUGGUGAUAUCUGCACUCACUGCAACCUCUGCCUCCCAAGUUCAAGCGAUUCUCUUGUCUCAGCCUCCUGAGUAGUUGGGAUUACAGGCAAGCACCACCAUGCCCGGCUAAUUUUUUGUAUUUUUAAUAAAGAUGGGGUUCCACCAUGUUGGCCAGGCUGGUUUCGAACUCCUGACUUCAGGUGAUCCACCCGCCUCAGCCUCCCAAAGUGCGGCAAUUACAGGCAUAAGCCACCACACCGGGCCAUCACAAUCUGAAUUCUUAAAAUACUCUUAAUUCAAAUAUUUAUUCUCUUCAUUGGAUGCCGAGUUCAGUCAGCUCAUAGAUGUUUUUCCAAAAGUGUUUGUCUGAUUUUAAAUCUUCAAAUAAACCAUUUUGUUUCUGAAUUAAUAAGAACAUUUGUCCUAAUUAAUUUAUCUAAUUCUGAACCAAGAUGUUGUCCCUUGGGUAUUCUAGGAUACGUUGAACCAUGAAUGUUCAGGUUGAUUGUUUUAUCAUAUGUCUAUGUAUUUAUUGUCUCAAUUACAUGCAAUUCUUUCUUUGGGAACUUUGAUAAAUGGCCCAAAGACAUUCAUGCUUGGAAAUGGGAAAAUUUUUAAUGUCUUUCCUCUCUUGUGUGUUUGUCUAGUAGGAUGGAUAUUUUGAAUAUAAAAACUGUUUUUAGAGGUAGUGGAAACGACUUUUAAUUAAACUAAACUCUUCAAAUAUUUUGAAGGAUAUGUGUACAUUUAAGUUUGUUUGCUGAGAAGUCUGUUUGUGUUUAGAAGUCUGCCAGGAUCAAAAGAAGUAAAUACAA